rnacentral:tRNA from 1 species
GAGGGUGUGGCUCAGCUGGUAGAGCACAUGCUUAGCAUGCACAAGGUCCUGGGUUCCACCCCUAGGACCUCCA